GAUGAAGAACGUAGCGAAAUGCGAUAAGUAAUGUGAAUUGCAGAAUUCAGUGAAUCAUCGAAUCUUUGAACGCACAUUGCGCCCGCUAGUAUUCUGGCGGGCAUGCCUGUCCGAGCGUCAUUUCAACCCUCAAGCCCCCGGGCUUGGUGUUGGGGAUCGGCGAGCCUCCGCGCCCGCCGUCCCCUAAAUCUACUGGCGGUCUCGCUGUAGCUUCCUCUGCGUAGUAGCACACCUCGCACUGGGAAACAGCGCGGCCACGCCGUUAAACCCCCAACUUCUGAACGUUUGACCUCGGAUCAGGUAGGAAUACCCGCUGAACUUAAGCAUAUCAAUAAGCGGAGGA
rnacentral:misc_RNA from 1 species